UUUAAAAUUUUCCAUUUUUAGUUGGUUAUUUCUGAUUAAUAUUUAAAAGCAAAUAAUAAUGAUAUGGUAGGAGAUACACACCAAACAGGAUGUGUAAAUUAUUAUAUAAUAAGUAUUGUGCAAUAGCAAGAAAUUUUCAAUUGCACAGUAUUGCACAAUUGCAAGAAAUCUUCAAUUGCACAGUAUUGCACAAUAGCAAGAAAUCUUCAAUUGCACAGUAUUGCGCAAUAGCAAGAAAUAUCCAAUAGCACAAUAUUGCGCAAUAGCAAGAAAUUGUCAAUUGUACAGUAUUGCACAAUAGCAAGAAAUAUUCAAUUGCACAGUAUUGUGCAAAAGAAGAUACUUCGUAUAAAUUGCUUAUUUCUUGAUCAAUUUCAAUGGGGUUUUAUUCUUGAAUUCUUGGGGUUCUUUAAUCCGUGUAUUAAGUUUUUGGAUUUUGGGCCCCGUUUUUAAAUUGGUCCACAUUGAGGUCCAAAGGGUCCAAAAUUUAACUUUGUUUGAUUUCAUCAAAAAUUGAAUUAUUGGGGUUCUUUGAUAUGCCGAAUCUAACCGUGUAUUUAGAUUCUUAAUUUUUGGUUCCGUUUUCAAAUUGGUCUACAUUAAGGUCAAAAGGGUCCAAAAUUAAACUUAGUUUGAUUUUAACAAAAAUUGAAUUUUUAGGGUUCUUUGAUAUGCUGAAUCUAAACAUGUAUUUAGAUUUUUGAUUAUGGGCCCAGUUUUCAAGUUGGUCCAAAUCGGGGUCCAAAAUUAAACUUUGUUUGAUUUCAACAAAAAUUGAAUAUAUGGGGUUCUUUGAUAUGCUGAAUCUAUCCAUGUAUUUAGAUUUUUGAUUUUUGGGCCCCAUUAUCAACUUUGUCCACAUUGAGGUCAAAAGGGUCCAAAAUUAAACUUUGUUUGAUUUCAUCAAAAAUUGAAUUCUUGGGGUUCUUUGAUAUGCUGAAUCUAACCAUGUAUUUAGAUUUUUUAUUUGUGGACCUGCUAUCAAAUUGGUUCAUAUUGAGGUCAAAAGGGUCCAAAAUUAAACUUUGUUUGAUUUCAUCAAAAAUUGAAUUAUUGGGGUUCUUUGAUAUGCCAAAUCUAACCGUGUAUUUAGAUUUUUAAUUUUGGGUCCUGUUUUUUAAAUUGGUCUACAUUAAGGUCCAAAGGGUCCAAAAUUAAACUUAGUUUGAUUUUAACAAAAAUUGAAUUUUUGGGGUUCUUUGAUAUGCUGAAUCUAAACAUGUGUUUAGAUUUUUGAUUAUGGGACCAGUUUUCAAGUUGGUCCAAGUUGGGGUCCAAAAUUAAACUUUGUUUGAUUUCAACAAAAAUUGAAUAUAUGGGGUUCUUUGAUAUGCUUGAAUCUAAACAUGUUUUUAGAUUUUAGAUUUUUGGCCCAGUUUUCAAGUUGGUCCAAAUUGGGGUCCAAAAUUAAACUUUGUUUGAUUUCAACAAAAAUUGAAUAUAUGGGGUUCUUUGAUAUGCUGAAUCUUACCAUGUAUUUAGAUUUUUUAUUUUGUGGGCCCGCUAUCAAAUUGGUUCAUAUUGAGGUCAAAAGGGUCCAAAAUUAAACUUUGUUUGAUUUCAUCAAAAAUUGAAUUAUUGGGGUUCUUUGAUAUGCCAAAUCUAACCGUGUUUUUAGAUUUUUAAUUUUGGGUCCCGUUUUUUAAAUUGGUCUACAUUAAGGUCCAAAGGGUCCAAAAUUAAACUUAGUUUGAUUUUAACAAAAAUUGAAUUCUUGGGGUACUUUGAUAUGCUGAAUCUAAACAUGUGUUUAGAUUUUUGAUUAUGGGACCAGUUUUCAAGUUUGUCCAAGUUGGGGUCCAAAAUUAAACUUUGUUUGAUUUCAACAAAAAUUGAAUAUAUGGGUUCUUUGAUAUGCUGAAUCUAGCCAUGUAUUUUGAUUUUGGACAUUGGACCAUAAUAGGUAAAUUAAAAAAAUUGAAGUUCUUAGACCACAUUCUUUCUGUGUCAGAAACCUAUGCUGUGUCAAAUAUUUAAUCACAAUCCAAAUUCAGAGCUGUAUCAAGCUUGAAUGUUGUGUCCAUACUUGCCCCAACUGUUCAGGGUUCGACCUCUGCGGUCGUAUCAAGCUGCGCCCAGCGAAGCAUUUUAUU